rnacentral:tRNA from 1 species
AGAUAGUUAAUGGUUAAUUUGCAAUUAACUGAUAUGAUUAAAAUCAUACUGUUAU